UACGUAGGGGGCAAGCGUUGUCCGGAUUUAUUGGGCGUAAAGAGCGUGUAGGCGGCCUGAAAGGUCAGCUGUGAAAACUCGAGGCUCAACCUCGAGACGUCGGUUGAAACCAUCUGGCUAGAGUCCGGAAGAGGAGUGUGGAAUUCCCGGUGUAGCGGUGAAAUGCGCAGAUAUCAGGAGGAACACCAAUGGCGAAGGCAGCUCGCUGGGACGUUACUGACGCUGAGACGCGAAAGCGUGGGGAGCAAACAGG
rnacentral:rRNA from 1 species